CCAGACCUGCUGUUUUCAACUCUCUAGAGACAGCAGGAGCGAUUCAGCUCCAGAUGACAAAACCUGCACACUCCCAGAGAGUUGCAGGGCUGCCGACUUCCUUUUGGUCACACAUUUUAUUUGGAGAGAUAUCCAAAAAAACAAAGACAUUGCUUUAUGUGAAUGUACUUUAUUGCAGACAUUUUCCUCAAAUAAAAUGGAGCAAACAUAAAAUAAACGAGUUAUUACUAUGUA